UGAAUAAACACCUGGCCAUCUGAGAAUCUGAUAAAAGAAAUAAAAGCUAAAAUUGGUAUGUGUGUGUCUAUGGUAGCUAUAAACCUAAACUUAAGCUGGCUUCAGGUGCUGUUGGGAAGAUCCUUUCCACAAGUACGUUGUGUUCAAGUGCUUUUGUUGUUGUAGUGAAAUGAAAAAUGGCUGACACAAAAUUUAUCGUGACCUGCUACUUUGGUAUAACAGUUUUGGACAUGUUGAUUCAUCUGCUACAACUUUUUUUUUGCAAAUUGUAUAUGUUAUAAAUCUGCA